rnacentral:tRNA from 1 species
GGAACUGUAGCUCAGUGGUAGAGCACUUGCCUACAAUACAUGAAGUUCUGGAUUUGAUCACCAGCAAUGUUU